GAUGAACGCUGGCGGCGUGCCUAAUACAUGCAAGUCGAGCGAACAGACGAUGAGCUUGCUCCGCUGUCGUUAGCGGCGCACGGGAGAGUCACACGUGUAUCCUCUACCUAUCAGACUGGGAUAACUUCGGGAAACCGGCGCUAAUACCGGAUAAUAUCUUGCACCGCAUGGUUCAAUAGUGAAAGACGGCUUUGCGGUAUCUUAUAGCUGGUUCCGGGCCGCAUUAGCUAGUUGGUAAGGUCAAGGCUUACCAAGGCAACCAUGCGUAGACGACCUGAGAGGGUGAUCGGCGACACUGGAGCUGAGACACGCUCCAGGCUCCUACGGGAGGCAGCAGAAGGGAAUCUUCCGCAGUGGGCGAGAGCCUUACGGAGCAACGCGGCGUGAGUUAUGACGGUCUUCGGAUCGUGAAACUCUGUUAUUAGGGAAGAACAAAUUUGUAAGUAACUAUGCACGUCUUGACGGUACCUGAUCAGAAAGCCACGGCUAACUACGUG
rnacentral:rRNA from 1 species